AGAAUGGCCUUUUUUGACAAG
rnacentral:siRNA from 1 species